UAAUCCUACGGGAGGCAGCAGUGAGGAAUAUUGGUCAAUGGCCGGAAGGCUGAACCAGCCAAGUCGCGUGAGGGACGACUGCCCUAUGGGUUGUAAACCUCUUUUAUAAGGGAAGAAUAAAUGCUACGUGUAGCAUUAUGCCUGUACCUUAUGAAUAAGCAUCGGCUAACUCCGUGCCAGCAGCCGCGGUAAUACGGAGGAUGCGAGCGUUAUCCGGAUUUAUUGGGUUUAAAGGGUGCGUAGGCGGAUUUUUAAGUUAGUGGUUAAAUGUCGGGGCUUCACCUUUUUUUGCCGUUAAUACUGGU
rnacentral:rRNA from 1 species